rnacentral:lncRNA from 10 species
AAAGAUUUCCCACUGCACAGCUGGUAUCACGCACUGAUCAGUCACUGGCUGGGCACUGCUGGGGAAGAGUGUUGCCUCAGCUCAAAAGCAGAAUCGGAUCCUGAAGGACCUAAUGACUAGAAACUUCCAGCUGACUACACUCUGCAACUGACUGAUUUGAACGUCUAUAGAAUAUUACAUCUCUUUGACCUGAAGGACUUGCUUUAGCAUUUCUUGUACUACAAGUCUGAUGGAGAUGGCACAUUGCAUAAAGAAACGCGAACCCAGCAGCACUCCUGCCAGCGGCAAUUCUGAGUGCUCAUUUCCACUUUGCCAAGACAUUACAUGGGAAGGCAUGUGCGUUUAAGGGCAUCCAAUUGUUUCUGUAUCAGAACAGCAGCAACAUCCCGGGCAGGCCUUUCCUCUGGAGUUCACGUGUAGGUCGUACUGACACACAACAUGGCCUAAAUGGACCAUGGAGGAGGAAGGGACCCCAAAUCCAGGCCAAAUGGGAGCAGGGUUGUCCUCAGCAGCAUCCUGAGUGUUUCACAGACAGCCCUGGAGAGACCGCACUCCACAGUCCACAGCAGCAUCCUUGGUAACACACCUGGCACUGGUGUUCCCUUCUUACCUGCUUCCUUACCCCUUGAUAACCUGCCAAAUAAACCAUCUAGUAGAAGUCUUCAUCCAAGCUCCUUCUGAUUUCAGGAGGACCCCAGCUAGAAGACUUUCUCUGGAACCCACGGUGCCUCUCACUAAAGUGCCCCAACGUUGGCACAACACCUACCGAAUUGUUGUUGCUGACUCUCUAUGCCCAUGAUUCAACCAGAACAACAUUGAUUCGUUAAAAGGUGCAUGAAUAAACUUGACUCUGGAAACAACAACA